rnacentral:rRNA from 1 species
AAUAAAGUUUUCUUUAUUGGGGUUGCGGACAUAUCAUAACGAAGAGGUAUCGUAAUUGAAGAGGUUUGGAAAGACCCACCACAGAAGGUAAUAGUCCUGUAUGUUAAACGAGAAGACUUUAGAUAUGAUCCAGAGUACCACGGGACACGUGAAACCCUGUGGGAAGCAGGAGGGACCACCCUCCAAGGCUAAAUACUACCUAGUGACCGAUAGCGUAUAGUACCGUGAGGGAAAGGUGAAAAGAACCCCGGGAGGGGAGUGAAAUAGAACCUGAAACCCUGCACUUACAAGCUGUGGAAGCACAUUUCUUGUGUGACCGCGUACUUUUUGUAGAACGGGCCAACGAGUUACGUUAAGUAGCAAGGUUAAGCACUUAAGGUGCGGAGCCGUAGCGAAAGCGAGUUUUAACUGAGCGUUCAGUUACUUGACGUAGACCCGAAACCGGGCGACCUACCCAUGAGCAGGAUGAAGCGAAAGUAAAAUUUCGUGGAGGUCCGAACCCACGAGCGUUGAAAAGCUCGGGGAUGACUUGUGGGUAGCGGUGAAAUUCCAAUCGAGCCCGGAGAUAGCUGGUUCUCCCCGAAAUAGCUUUAGGGCUAGCCUCAAGGUGAGAGAUACGGAGGUAGAGCACUGAAUGUCCUAGGGGGUAUUGCACCUA